ensembl:lncRNA
UGCAGAUCCCACAGGGAAAAGGAAACUGCUGUUCUAUUUCAAAAUCCCUGAUGGGUUUCCUUCCCGUUAGAAGGGUCUGAGGAAGCCGCACAGACCCCUGCUUGCUUCUGCCCCUCGCGUUGAAAUCAAACCUGUAAAUCUCCUCUGUUGCCGGCACGGAUCAAGCCAAAAUCACAGUAUAAAUGAUGAUGGUGGGAAAGGAGAUGCUCUCAGGAAGGAUGGGGUGGGGUGCUGAGUCGUCAACGACGCGUUGAUCGGGGAGAAGGAACUGAUCUGGGGCAAGUCAGUCCUGUGGAAAUCUCGCCUCAGCUCACUUCCUGCCAAGUCCCUGCUCUCGUCCUGCAGGGAGUGCGGGGGGCUCCACUCAACAUCAGACUUGCCCUCACCGUACUGAGCAGUUCCCAGGAAAACGGGAGUGUGUCUCUCUCACCGUGACGCCCUCUCUCGCCUCCUCAAUCCCCUCGUCUGGGCUCCCUGGACGGCUCUGCUUGGCACAGACCUUUGGUCUCAGAGUCCCGGAAGUCGGUGUGAAACAAGACGGAGAAAGACGCAGGGCCUGACCCUCUCCUCAGCCUGUUCCUCUGGAGCCGCCACGAGGUCCUGGACCAUUUGGGUGGGAGGGCUGCCCGGGCGCAGGCUCAGGGCAGGGUCCACGAGAGCCUGGGGGCGGCCAGGGCUUGGGCAGCCGUGGAGACUUGUCUGUGCAAAUGCCCUGCCGAGGGGCGAGCGGGAAGGCGUCCUGGGCAGGGCUGGAGGGUGGAAGCUGGGGAAAUGAGCUAAAGGUGUGGUGGAGACGGAGGCACGAGUGGGAGCAGGAGAGGGCACGGGGCUGCACGGGGCCAGGAGGCCCAGGGCAGAGCAGGACAGAGCGCGAGCGGACGGCCUACGUUCCCCACACUGGUGCCGGCACAGCCUCCCAGGCAGGUCUCAGACCCUGUGUGCAGCUCUCCGUCUUCUUCAGUGAUGUCCAGUCUGGGCAGGUCAGACUCACCGGAAACAGGCUUCUCCCCUCCUCGGGAGGAAGGGCGCCCCGGCUCACUCUCCUGGAGGUUCUGUCGCUUACACUCUGUGCACACCCGUCUGCCGCAGCUCCUCCUUCUCAAGCCUUCCCAGCAAGUGCACACGCAUUCUCACCACCCCCGUGACACAGAGGAGGGGAGAACGCCGUCGCCCUCUACCAGAUGGAGAGAGCCCUGCUCGAGGUGGUGAACGGCUCAGACCGAGGCGGGUGCAUCCAGCCCAGAGGCCCCCCACUGGUGAGGACCGGGGAGCGUCAGGCCGCCCCCACGGUGCCCACACUUGCACCGAAGCGUCUUUGCUGAGUCGGAAGGCACCUCAGGCCUCCCCAGCCCUGGAGCUGCCCUCCAGAGCCCGUCCCCAGGGAGCAGGGACGUGGGGGGAUCCGCCUUCCUGGGACGGCCCCAAGCCCAGCCGCUGCCGCGUGUUGGGAAGUUCCAGAAGCAUCCGUCCUGCUUGGAUCCUCCAGGAUUCAUUCUCCCUUGUGGCGUCUGACUCCCCCUCAUGUGGCCCAUCUCCUCUUCUAGCCUCGAAGCCCCUGUCAGGGACGUCCCCAGGCUCACUCCCUUGGGUAUUAACCCUGUGUCUUUGCCGUGUUUGGCGACUGCUGGGCUCAGCUGUGUGUGUCCCGGAGGGCACAGCACGUCUGCCUCACACUCACAACCGCCUGAGUCUGACCCGCAGCCUGGACCCCAGCGGGCCUGCGAGGCUGGGGGCCACCCCGCCCCAGAGCCCACACCAGAGGCGGGUCAGGCCUGGGCCAGAGGUGACACGACCCUCCUGGGGUCUGUGGCAGGUGUAUGUGACCACAUCUGCCUGUACCUACGCUGUGCACGUGUGCGAGAAGGGAGAUGGGCGUGUACAGAAAUUGUCAGCUUCUGUGAGCUGUGAGUACAUGGCAUGCGAGCCUGGUUGCCUCCAUCAAGGUGGGGGAUGGUGUCCUGCUGACUGGUGACCACUGGCUGUACCCCCAGUGCCUAGAACAAACCCAGCCAGCAGCCUCUCAGACAGUGUUCCCGAUGGAUGAAAGAUGGUUAAACAUUAAGAUUCCCGGUGGAAGCCUGUCUCCUCCCUCUGUUCUUGAAAUCCCCGAGUCAGUCCUGUUUCUGAUCAUAUUUUGCUUAAAAAUCAGCCCUUAGCAGUUUGGAAGCUUCCGGGCGCCCGUAACGGCGUGUCUGGUCACUGCUGGUGUGGGUCAUGACGAGAAGUCUGACAGGACGUUGGGAGGUGAGGGACCAAGGUGUGGUCAGCUGUUCAGCUCUGGCCGUGGAGUGCGCCAUCCUCCCAGCCUCACUGCCCAACACAGCAGCCUCCCAGCGGGGGCAGGAGGGAGAGCGCCCCGCGUCCUCUCUUACAGGGCAGGCAGCUCUUCCAGAGUCCCUCCCGCCACGGCCAUCCCUUGACCUCUGGUUGGGCAGCGUGCUUGCCCUGGACGUCACGUCAUCCAAGGGUCAAUGUGUGUAAGCCUGCUCCCCGCUGGAACGUGAGCUGCAGAAAGGCCACCGCUGACAAUCUGCUGCUAGAAAAAGCACGGGGAGCGUGGCUGGUGCUCGGACGCAUGUCGGUGGAAUGGCGCCCACCGCAGGGGUGAAACCUCUGCUCGGCUCAUCAGAACCGUGGUGUCCAUAAAUGGUUUAUCCACACGUGUCCUUUUCAGAGGGAACAGCCUGUUAACAUCACGCAGUCGAACCGUGUGAACGUGAGGGGCCUCAGCUGUCGGCAGAGGACGGCAGAGGCUCUGCAGGUGCUCUGGGCGUGGGAAUGGCCUCGCCCUUCCCUGAGCAGGUCUGGCUGGAAUCCCACCACAUGUGCGCAGCUGGCCCGUGGCUCCAGGCCUCAGGACCUGCAAGCAGGAGGCUGUAAUAGAAGAAAGAGAUGCCUGCAGGUCAACCACAACUAACCAGGAAACAUUUCCACGAGGCAAAGAUGGACCCAAAAGCUGGCAAGUGCGCAUUGAGUAGACAGUGUUGACCUCAGCACGGCCUCAUCUUUCU